ACUCGCUCAGUCACUCACUCACUCGCUCGCUCGCUCGCUCGCUCGCUUGUAAGCUGCCUCUCGUAACUACUGACACCGCACUCAGUAACGGCUACGCCAGUAGCCGGACCGGCAUCAAACAGGCAUUUGUUUAGUUGGCAGCACCGCUGCGGUCUAGCCAAAAAUACCACAGAAGAAAACCCGCCAUAAGAUAUAGUUAACAAUGGGCCAGAACUGUAUUUAUCGUUCGCAAUCACCCAGCGUCGACUGGGUCACGACGACCGUCUGUCCAUUGACUACGACAAUGACACUUGCUGAUCCGAAAAUAAAGGAAGCCCACACAACACACAAACUAAAAUUUGCUUUUGCAACGACGCAGUAGAGCUGCUCACAUUAGAACCUGACUACUACAGGACAGAGGUAGAACUUUUUUUGUUAUUGUGUCAAAGAAGAUGGUAUCGUAUGUUGAGUAUUUUUUAAAUCUGGAUAAAGCAGUUGUUCAGUUAGGCACAAUCAUGUGGUUCGUCUGUCCGUUCUGUUGUAACGUCUUGAAGUCUAAUUCUCUUUUUUGUUUAUGUUAAUAUUUACUGUAUCGAAUAAUGGUUAUUGCAGUCCUCUCGUUGGCAGUGCGCAGUUUAUCCAAGCGACGCUAUUCAGAAUCUCAUCGUAGGUGACAAUUAAGUUCAGCAGCUUCGUGUUUCGCAUUUAUUCAGUAUACCUGAAGUCAUAUUAUACAGUGUCGUCCAGCGCUCAUAAUUAGCUGCAGUCCACCAGAAAAAGUUCGACAACUAUCUAAUGCAGUCUAUUCGUUCUGCAUUCGUCCAUCUUUUGCCCUACAUCCUAGUCGUCGAGUUGUCAUAGAAGCCCAGCCAGCCAGCCAGCCAGCCACCCAGCCAGCCGGCCACAAUAGCUAUAACAAUUUAGUUGCUCCUAUUGCAUUGCGAUGCCAGUACAAAUAUCAACGUACACCACUAGGAACGUCGCUUUUAUAGAAUUUGAUUCCAUCGAUUUCUGUUGUACUUAUGUAAGCGAACAGUUGAGAUGCCAAUAAAUGCUUCUCCAACGCGCUUUUCACUAUUUUCAGUUACUGCUUCUGGUCGUGUCUUCUACUUAAUUUGUGUCCUGUUUUUGUGGCCGUUUUUAAGGACAGCCAAACAGGCUAUUGCAAACCAUUGUAACGCAUACACGAGCAAAGCAUCGUCGGUAGCAGUAACGCAACAAAUGUUAUUCAACCGGAGAACGAGCGUGCUUCAACCGACAAAAGGAGAGAGGAAUGGUGCGGGAGAGAGAUCAUUAGAUCCAGAAGAAUCACCGACAAGGAGCAUUGACACUAGCGCCCACAGAGAGCUGGUUGGGAGAGUGCAUCUAGAGCCCACGUCGCCCUGAUCAUUAAACGCUGAGUAAAUUUGUCUCGUGCUGCUGAGCGAGAUUGGUCGCAUCGACAAAUCAUGCCUGCUUCGUAUUGGCGCUUCCCUGUUUCGUCUGAUGGAGCAUUUCAUCGGGCUGACCGCGACAGACCCGCGCGCGCGCGCUGAUCGCAGUUGGUAGCCGCGCUGCGAGGAGAAAUUCCAAUAAAAACAUUGAGGCAUAAGGGGGAUAUCCCGAUGUUAGCGCCAUCUGUGAACGACGUUAGAGAGGCUGGUAGGCCAGACCAAACUCGCCAAUGUAGCGUAAGAGCCCCGGCAUGGUAGCGACGCUGCUUGGAAUGAUGGCUGAGUGAUGGUCAGAAUCAAUGGAGGUUGUGUUUCGAAAUCCACCCACCCUCAGAUUCAGCCCAUUUAUUUAAGGACUCCCUGAAUGGCUCGUCAAGGCGUAAAUUGUAAAUUCGGAAUGGAACCCUUCCCAGUCGAGGCCUGCACUGAUAGGCUGCUUGAGUUGAGCGUACUACUGAGAACAAGGGUACCGUAUUUGGAAUCCCAAAUGACACUUAAACUCAAAGCUUGAGUAAGGUUUCCGCGUAAACGCAUUAUUUGGCGGCACAAUAAAGAAAGCCGGUUACACUGCUGAUUUUCGUAAAUUGAAAAAUUCGAUUUUAUUGGAUAACAAAAGGAUGGAGCUAGGCCCUUCUAUUUUCGCGUAGGGGCAGUUCGGCCUAACCAACUGCCAGUAAACAAUGUUCAAUUUCAGGGGCGAUGCCUAAAAAAGUUGCUAGAAGCAGCUAAUUGCAGUGCCGACAUUCGCUUAAAUACCU
rnacentral:lncRNA from 1 species